UUUAGUUUUUUUAUUCCCAAAUGAUACCCAAAACAUGUAAGCUUCACACUAUGUUAAUUUCUGCAGGAUGGGAAAACAUUGGACAAUGAGUUGGAGGUUGUUAAGGGAAUGAAGCUAGACAUGGGCUACAUAUCCCCUUAUUUCAUCACCAACCAGAACAAUUAGAAAUGUGAAUUGGAAAAUCCUCUAAUCAUAAUCCAUGAGAAGAAAAUCUCAAGUAUUAAUGCUGUGGUUAAAGUAUUGGAGUUGGUCUUGCAGGUUAUCAUUUCUCUGGUUAGGUUCACUAGUUUCUUCUUUUUUAUCAUGAAUUGGUUGACAAACUUUUGCUCUUUUUCAAAAGCAAAGGUCUUUGCAUUUUGUUAUAUCUUUCAGAACCAAAGUUAUAAAAGAAAAUGGUUUUCCUCUUUGUUAAUUGAGAAUCAUCUGCAGUUAUGAUUUCAGAUCUAUAGAUAACUUGUUGUUGCUGAUAUUGCUACACGGGAGGAGAAUAGAACAGCUUGAAAAAUGUGCAAGAAGAGAGAGCUAACUCAUACACCGAAGAACAAAUUGGUGAAGUUAAGAUCAAAUUAGUAGAAUUUGUGAGCUCUCCAUUAUUUAUAAUUAUAGGUAGGAAGUAUGUAUGUAAUAGAGUAAAGAUUGGUUGACUAUGUAAUAACAAUUGAAUUUUCAAGUUUUAUGAAAGAAAUAAUUUUUGAGCA